ACGUAGGGUGCGAGCGUUAAUCGGAAUUACUGGGCGUAAAGCGUGCGCAGGCGGUUUUGUAAGCCAGAUGUGAAAUCCCCGGGCUUAACCUGGGAAUGGCAUUUGGGACUGCAAGGCUUGAGUAUGGCAGAGGGGGCUAGAAUUCCUGGUGUAGCAGUGAAAUGCGUAGAUAUCAGGAGGAAUACCGAUGGCGAAGGCAGGCCCCUGGGUUAAUACUGACGCUCAUGCACGAAAGCGUGGGGAGCAAACAGGAUUAGAUACCCUGGUAGUCCACGCCCUAAACGAUGUCGACUGGUUGUUGGGGGUUUGACACUCUCAGUAACGAAGCUAACGCGUGAAGUCGACCGCCUGGGGAGUACGGCCGCAAGGUUA
rnacentral:rRNA from 1 species